UCGAGGACUUAACCGAAGAAUAGCAUUGGAAACUGGAAGACUUGAGUGCAGAAGAGGAGAGUGGAAUUCCAUGUGUAGCGGUGAAAUGCGUAGAUAUAUGGAGGAACACCAGUGGCGAAAGCGGCUCUCUGGUCUGUAACUGACGCUGAGGUUCGAAAGCGUGGGUAGCAAACAGGAUUAGAUACCCUGGAAGUCCACGCCGUAAACGAUGAAUGCCAG
rnacentral:rRNA from 1 species